GAUGAACGCUGGCGGCGUGCCUAAUACAUGCAAGUCGAGCGAACAGACGAGGAGCUUGCUCCUCUGACGUUAGCGGCGGACGGGUGAGUAACACGUGGAUAACCUACCUAUAAGACUGGGAUAACUUCGGGAAACCGGAGCUAAUACCGGAUAAUAUCUUGAACCGCAUGGUUCAAUAGUGAAAGACGGUUUUGCUGUCACUUAUAGAUGGAUCCGCGCCGCAUUAGCUAGUUGUUAAGGUAACGGCUUACCAAGGCAACGAUGCGUAGCCGAACUGAGAGGGUGAUCGGCCACACUGGAACUGAGACACGGUCCAGACUCCUACGGGAGGCAGCAGUAGGGAAUCUUCCGCAAUGGGCGAAAGCCUGACGGAGCAACGCCGCGUGAGUGAUGGAGGUCUUCGGAUCGUAAAACUCUGUUAUUAGGUAAGAACAAAUGUGUAAGUAACUAUGCACGUCUUGACGGUACCUAAUCAGAAAGCCACGGCUAACUACGUG
rnacentral:rRNA from 1 species